UCAACUAACGUUACACGAUUAGUUAAGCGGCGACUAGUGUGGGCGAACUAGAGCGCCGACGUCACAUACAUUUUUUUUUAUAUGAAAAUAUAAACUACUUAUUUCAGCACCCAAAGAAUAGCGCACAAUUAUACAUAACCGUGUCGUGGUAAACGGUAGUUUGAGACUAUUCUUUGAGCGCUGAAAUCCAGUCGGCCUAUUAUAUGCUACUCUAGAUUAUUCUGUACUUCCAACUGUGACAACAGUUUGGAGAGGGCCCUUUCCUGUUUCAGCAUGACAAUGCCGGCAUUGUAAAUAGUAGAGUUGGGUUUAAUCGGCUAUAUAAUCGUGGAGUUGAGAAUUCUCAGCUAGCUAGUUUGCGUUAUUUCGCUGUAGUAGCCAGUAUUAUGCUAACUUGCCAGCUAGCCGUUUAAGACUGAAAUACUAACUAGUCUUGAGUCUCUACGACUCUAGCUACUGUGAAGCUAUGAAUAACUGUCAAAGCACAAACAUAACGUUAACCUGGCAGCAUGCUGUGCAGCGAUCUAGCUAGCUACCUCCCUGACAGUUAAUGUAUAGCUAGCUAGCUAACGUUACCAUAAAUUAACCAGAGUAACAACAAUAGAUAAUGCCAGCUAGCUAAACGUUCUUGGAGUGAAACGUCAGCAAGGGAUCUCGUAAUAAAUUACAGUAGCUAACUAUAUGUAAAUCUUACUUCUUUUCCAUUCAAACAACAGAAAUGACUCAAAUGCAGGUGGCGCGUUCAUAUUUGAUAACUAACGUUACAUAGCGAUAGACAAGGGUGCAAAAACUAAGAAACAGCGAACACACACCGCAGAGUACUUGAAUGAGCGAGAAGACCCUGACUGCAGUUGGCGGAGUCAAACGGGUUUAAGCCGUCCCAUGUCUUUCAUGGUCACCCAAGUUGAGGUAAACGUCAAAGAUGUCAACGACAUCGAAUCUUAAUUGAACCAAACCUACAUGUAUACCAUGGCAAAACAUUCUCGGAUCUGGUCCCCUGGACCUUGGAGGACUUUUGGUGUGGAUGUUCAGGGCUUAUCAAAGCAAGGUUUCUCAAACAACUGUGGGGUGUUUGUUUUGAUGUUCGCUCUGUACAUUGCAAUGGAAGCACAGUGUGAUUUCACUUAGGACAACAUGCAGCAAAUUAGGUGAUGGUGGCUAUGGAAUCCUGACCUGUUCACCGGACGUGCUACCUGUCCCAGACCUAUUAUUUGACCAUGCUGGUCAUUUAUGAACAUUUGAACAUCUUGGCCAUGUUCUGUUAUAAUCUC